UAGCCAACCCAGCGUGUUGGGAGAGAGAGGCAGCAGUCCAAGUCGGUCCCAAUUUGAUUAGGAUAAAGUCCAAGCGAGAGUGCAGUAGUACAUCAACAUCACGCCGCACACAAGGUUCGUACACACAUGAAAAGAAAAAGAAAAGCCACAGAGAGAAUGAGUGUAAUUUAAUAAUAUCUUUUAUAGCAAAUACUAGAUAAAAUGUCGAAACAUAAUGCAGCGACAAAAGGAUUAGAUUGUAGAUACACAAGCUUCAAUAAUCGGCUCACAGGAAAAUUACGAAGAUAUUAGUGCAUCAAAAGCUUUCUCGGUAGUACGAACAACAAUUGUGAACCAACAGUAAUCAGCAAGCAGCGUUCCACAGAAUAAUCCUCCGAAGAAUUUUUGGCCCCUAUAAGAGAUGUGCGAUUCCGUACCCUACAUAACGAUGAAAUUCAUGACCGAUAUCACGACCCUAAAGUCGUGGGUUAAACCUGGCAGGAU